CUGAUAUGUCAUAAAGGACCCCUGUCAUGUCUCACCAUCAGGAAAGCGGGACGGAAGGUUCCAGUUAUUUGUUUUUGGAAAUAGCAGUUGUGUCAAAAACUAAGAAGAAAAGUGCUUUCGAAGGAAAGGUGUCUUCCCAAAAACUUCAGGGAGUUCAAGAAUGUAAGGGUGAAUCUUUUCCAAGGGUUAAACUAAGCCUCUCCAUUUAAAAUUCCGGGAUCAGGACACCUAAUGAGAGGUCAUGUGAGCAGGAGUCCAUAGACCCAUGUGCAGAAAUCUCAAAUCAAUGGAUUUGAAGCAUGUGAGUACCAAUAGGUGGGGCCCGUUAAACUCACUCCUUCACAACCAAAUGCAGCAGGGGAUCCUCAAGCCAUAAAAGGACAUUAGUGGACAAAUUGGGGCAACUCAACCAGGGCUCGUGUGAAGCAACUAGUAUUGUAUCAGUGAUGAUUUCCUGUUUUGGGUAAUGGCAUCACCAUUACAGAAGACAUUAACAUACAGGGCAGUGGGGUGAAGGGUCUAAGUCAAUGCUCUGUACCACUUUUGCAACUUUUCUGUGAGUCAGAAAUUAUUUUACAACAAACAUUUAAAAGGAAUGUGUACUAUAUAUAUUCCAAAAGGUUGGAAAGCCAGAGAAUGAACAACCAUUGUAAUCACAUGGGGGACAUGAGAGUCAGCCAGUGCCUCCUUCCAAAGCUCCUUUGGUAAGGUGUCUUCAAGCCAGUGGGAGGAAUGCUAGGGUUGUAAUCUGAGAGCACUGUCACAUGAGUGCCAUGGUUUUUACAUAACCACACUGCGGCUCCCGUGUGCACACUGACCCCUGGGAAAUGUCGGCGGCCUCGAUGGAAGAAUCUGGAAGGGAGAUGUGCUGUCCAUCAGUGGGCAGAGAGGUCACAGCAGAGCACUGUGGCCUGAUUGCACAGUGGCUGGCCUAGAGCCAAUGCCCAAGAAGUUCUUGUGAGGUUGAGUCCUGCAGGGUGAGUCGUGGCCAGUGAACACAUGAGCCACAGGAUUUCCAGAAGCAUAACUGACAAGGACAAACCUCCAACCUAAGGAGGGUGUUUGGGUUGUUCCCGAAACACCGAUGUCAUCAAGAAGGGUGGUUUUGCAAGACUGCAAAGAUGAUCUGAAAGGAGGCAGCACAUUCAGAAUCUACGUCUGGGGGUCUGGAAGGGAGGUGAAGUUAGUAGCAAACUUUUGAGACAAGGGCCAUGACUUUCAGAGGGCACAUGUCACAAAAACCUGGUGUGCCCAGAUGGGUUUGAAAUGGGCCAGUGCAAUCAAGGCAUCGCAAGUGGUCCUGGGAUGACCAUCAACUUCUCCCAUCCCCCUAGUGGUGAGUUUUUCUCUUUCCCCUUCAUUCUAUGUAAAACCAGAGAAGCCUGAGUCUCCUCUGAGCUCCGCAAUCCGGGAGCCCUUCACUCAGCCCACUAGUUCAGGAGGGACCCAGUGAGGGGCUACAGCGUGGGCACGGGGGCUCUGCCUCUCCCUAGCUGUGCAGCUGGGCAAGUGACCCCCACUCUGUGUGCGUCCCCUCAUCUCCAGUGUGAAGAGGAGCGACUCUGCCGUCCUUGAUCGUGUGUAGGUCACACAGGAUGAUGCUCCAAAGCCCCCCAAGUACAUGGGACCAUACGUGGACCCAACAUCUGGAAAUGUUGGCGGUCGUUACCACUUGUGAUCCAACCAGCAGGGCUCAAGGUCUCCCCGCACAGCCAGCUCUGGGGCAGAGGCCUGGACCAGGAGGAAAGCCCAAGCUGAGACCUUGCUCUUCUGGGCCCAGGGAGAGCGCGGGGCAAAGGCACUGAGAGAAAACAAAGAGGCAGGGUUUGCAAAGAGAAACCCUGAGGGAACAGACAGAGACUGUUGGGAUCCACAAGCUGGAGACGCAGGUGGGGCUCCACUCAGGGAGGCUGGCUCUCCAGGCCCGCAGCUCACUCCUCCAUCCUUCUGUCUGACCACCACACAUGCCUCAGCUCCUCUGUGAGCACUGACAGCAUUUACUCUGGAAAUACGGAGGCCAGCGGCAUUGUCAGAGACCUCUAUGCCUCCUUUUCAGCCUCAUUUCAGGAGGCUUGAACUAAUAACACAUAAAAACAAGACAACUUGGAACAAAGAUGUGGAAAAGUACUUUGAAAUCGCUUAUGAAUGCUUCGGAAAAGUCAUUUCGGCAAAUACCCAACGCCCGUGCUCUGCAAGCACUGUCUUUAUUUCAGUCAUGGGAGCGCGCUCCUUCGAAUCCUGGCUGGCGAUAGUAGAGGGUUGGCUGUGCAUCCGGCACUGGGCACGGUGUUUCCCCCACGAGAUUCUCCCAUGACAGGUGUAACUGGUAUUCUCAUUUCACAGAUGUGAACGUGGAGGUGUGGUGGGGUUAAGUAAGUUGCUCAAGGGGGCACAGCUCAAGGCUGCAGACUCCAUGCUGUCCCGUGAGUCAAGACAGCAAGGAAUCUGGCUGGUCCAUGGCCAUGUCCCUUGGCAUCUAUCUUCUUACACACAGAAGAUGCCCAGUGAACUCCGCAAACUCUUGGACUCAAUGUGCCCAGCUAGAAUCCGAACUGGAGGGCUUUCGCUGCCACGAUGCCAUUAUCAACAUCCCGGUCUCCACCCAAUGCACAGACGUCAUUACACACACACAGCAAUGAAGAGGGUGCUUUACUCUCCUUUAUCAGGACUGACAAGGCUUCCAGAAGAGGAGGAGCUGCUCUAUCCCUUUCAGCUUGAAGGACACAUCCAGGCACCUCAAGGGCAAAGCGGCUUAAUCAAGCCCAACCCGCCAGAUACCGCCCACUUCUCACCCACCCACACUGGCUGUGGAUGUCUUCUCCAGCCCCCCCACACACCUCGUGCCCUCUGGGGUCCUCCUGCCCACCCCACAGCUAAACGUCAAGCCUCAUCCUUCAUGGUUCGCAUCUCCACACUUUCUCUGCUGUCUCUGUUCCCAUCCUCAGCCUGCCGGCCGAGGUCUCGUGGGCAGGGCCCCUUCCCUGCAAUGCCAGUCUGUACCCUCCAUCCAGCACCACCAGGAGUCCCUUCUCAAAUCUUCCCAUCGAUGAGGCUUCCAGCCCCUCCCAGUGGUGUGAACUUGCUUACACAAAAGAAGAGUCAACAAGGCAGAGUUUCGUUGUCUCUGGAGCUCUUAAAACCUGGGUUCAAGCUCAAGGCUCCCUCCACCGACUCUUUCUCUAAUGCUACCUGGAUAACCUGGGGGUUUCCAGCAUGCAGCCUGCCCCAAUGAAUGCUGCUUCCGAGCAGAUGGUGGAGGGGACUGGGAAAGACUCACUCUGACCCCUGAGUGUGUGAGUGUGUAGAGGGCAGCAGCUAAUGCUGUCCCAGCAGGGGAUAAAGCCAGAGGACACACAGACAGUGACAAUCCCACAAGGACCACCUUCUACAUUUAGAUUGCUCACGUGCACUUGGCUUUGCCUCUAGGAGACUCACACCCAGACCCAUUCUGAAUAAUCAGUGAUAGAUGUGGGCUUGCUCACUUCUGUCCCCGGAAGCCAAACACCAUUGAGAAGGGCAGCAAGAGGUCCAAGGCUCCGACCCACCAGUGGGUGUGGCGUGGCCAGGAAAUGCCUCAGGAUCCAAGCUGUUGCCACUGCCUGGGUCCUGGACACAGACGUGAGCUGCCGGGCUCCCAGGCACUGCACGGGAGACACACACGCAUACCUGUGCAUAGGAGACGAGCACACCGCCGGGGAGGCUGAGGGGGGCCCGUCCUCCUCUGCCUAGCAGACCUCAUCCAAGGAGAGGUCUGACUGCUCUCCUUGAAGAAUUACAGGGCGACUCCGAGUGGAUGAAGACUCUGCUUAAUAUUUUUGGUAAUGAAAACACUUUGUAGGACAAGUGCUUUUUAAGACUCAGAGAUGGGGGAAUCUGAGUGGCAUUUUAAAUGGGCUGUUGGACAAGAUUCGCCACGGCCCUGGUAAAUGUCACACAUUUCACCAGCUGGGCGAAGAGGCAUGUUAGCUAUGUUUCUCCCAAACCUGAUUAAAAUGGAAAGUGCCUUUUGAA